rnacentral:rRNA from 1 species
GAUGAACGCUGUCUACAGGCUUAACACAUGCAAGUCGAGGGGAAACGACGGGGAAGCUUGCUUCCCCGGGCGUCGACCGGCGCACGGGUGAGUAACGCGUAUCCAACCUGCCUCUGACUGAGGGAUAACCCGUCGAAAGUCGGCCUAAUACCUCAUGGCAUCGUCUGCGGGCAUCCAACGACGAUUAAAGAUUUCAUCGGUCAGGGAUGGGGAUGCGUCUGAUUAGCUUGUUGCGGGGUAACGGCCCACCAAGGCUACGAUCAGUAGGGGUUCUGAGAGGAAGGUCCCCCACAUUGGAACUGAGACACGGUCCAAACUCCUACGGGAGGCAGCAGUGAGGAAUAUUGGUCAAUGGGCGGGAGCCUGAACCAGCCAAGUAGCGUGCAGGAUGACGGCCCUAUGGGUUGUAAACUGCUUUUAUGCGGGGAUAAAGUGAGGGACGUGUCCUUCAUUGCAGGUACCGCAUGAAUAAGGACCGGCUAAUUCCGUG